GGGAUGACCAGGGAUGUUCUCUGUUUAGUGAGUCCACCAGAUCAGAGGCAGUAGGGAUGACCAGGGAUGUUCUCUGUUUAGUGAGUCCACCAGAUCAGAGGCAGUAGGGAUGACCAGGGAUGUUCUCUGUUUAGUGAGUCCACCAGAUCAGAGGCGGUAGGGGUGACCAGGGAUGUUCUCUGUUUAGUGAGUCCACCAGAUCAGAGGCGGUAGGGGUGACCAGGGAUGUUCUCUGUGUAGUGAGUCCACCAGAUCAGAGGCAGUAGGGGUGACCAGGGAUGUUCUCUUGAUAAGUGUGCGAAUUUGACCAUUUUCCUGUCCUGCUAAGCUAUCUAGCUCAGUACUUUUGGGUUUCAGGGAGUAAAAAGUACAACAUUUUCUUUAGGAAUGUAGUGAAGUACAAGUAAAGUCAGUGGGAUGCUGCCUCAUAAGUUGUCAAGAAUAAAGUACAGAUACUC
ensembl:lncRNA